UUAGGUUAGGUUAGGUUAGGUUAGGUAAGGUUUGGUUAGGUAAGGUUAAGUUAGGUUAGGUUAGGUUAGGUUAGGUUAGGUUAGGUUAGGUUAGGUUAGGUUAGGUUAGGUAAGGUUAAAUUAGGUUAGGUUAGGUUAGGUUAGGUUAGGUUAGGUUAGGUUAGGUUAGGUUAGGUAAGGUUAGGUUAGGUAAGGUUAGGUUAGGUUAGGUUAGGUAAGGUUAGGUUAGGUAAGGUUAGGUUAGGUUAGGUUAGGUUAGGUUAGGUUAGGUUUGUCAGGAAACAGGACAAGUGUUUCCUGACGCGGGUCUUAGUCAUAUGGUGACCCGCGACUGGAGGUUUUAGUCAUCUGACCGAGGCCUUCCACUGGCUUACUCCUUCACCCCUUUAUAAAUUAAGAUUAUUCUUGUAUUAGGUUAAGAGUAAUGAAGUAGCCCUUAAACAACUGCUAUGUCAUGCUAGAUGUUAUUAAACAAAUCACCUAUAACUAAACAGCUGUUAAUGGUACCACCAGAGGUGGAAAGUAAUCAAAAACAUAGGUAACAUCUGCUAAAUGGUGGCAGCUUAGGUAAAAAGUAACCAAAUGGACUUUAAACAUCUGUUGAAUAGUUUUAGUUGAGCCUAGAAGUGAUUAAAUACAUAAAAAAUAAUCAAAUUGACCAACACAGCUGUUAUAUGGCACAGGAACCAGCAGGUGCUGGCAUUAAAAUGGUAUAAAAUACCGACAGGUUGUUAGGUAAGACACAUAAGCAACAGUUAGAUACCUAACUGUUGCAUAUGUGUCUUACCUAACAACAGAUGCUGGCACGAGAGAAGUUAAAAUGUAUUUUAACUCUAUGAUAACCUUGAUUAUUGUUAAAGACAAGGUUAUCACUCUUAGUACAGUAAUUCAACUUCUCCUCCAUACAUAAAAGUUAACAUUAUAUUUUUUUAAUAUUGUAAGUGAGGUUAAUCUAGCGUAUAUGGUAAUAUAUCCAUAAAAAAAACUGCCAUACUGGCAAGUUUAUUUUCGAUACAGUCUUUUGAUAUGAUGCAAAUAAUUGAGAAAAAUAAUUGAGAAUUUUGCAACAUUUCGGAACCCACUAUGGCGAAACGUUCCUGCAACAAUGUUACACAAGUAUCACAUGCUUCAACAACCAUUUGGUAAUUUUAUUAUCCAUCUUGCAACAGCAGAAGGUGAAAAACUAGUGAGGAAUUUCUUCGUUCAGAAAAUCAACAGGGACAAAUUUCCUUCAUUUUUGAAUUUGGAAAAAACACUACAGACGUUCUUUUUUUUUAGGAUAUACUGAAUGAUUUCCGAAUUAACUUAAUCUACAAGCAUGGGCGUCCACUAACCAUGGAUCAAACCUGUGUUAAGGGGACUUAGCCAUGUACAUUAAUGCCUCUGAGCCGACAAUGGUAUACAAUAACACUUUCAGCCAAGAAAUUUGAUUAAUGCAACAUUUCACCCACUAAAGGGGGCUUUAUCAAAUACCAGUGGUCAGUGGAGGACCCAGAAGGUAAAAAAUCCACCCCAUAACUCAAUCAGCACCCCAGAUAAAAAAAAAUACAUAGAUAAUCCAGCUUCAAGUUGCCUAGUCCUCUUUUCCAACUAGAUGGCCACAUUUCGCCCACUGGCAGUGGGCGAAAUGUGGUAUCUAUGACUUUUUUCCUUCUGAAAGUGUAUUUAUACCAGCAAAACAUUUAUAAUGAUGUCAAGAACCAAGCUUGUAUAUUCCUCUCACAUCUCCCUGGUAAAAUUUCAGUGUACGCCCGUGUAUAUGCAUUAACAUAGCCUACAUAACAUAGUCCAUAAAACAUAGCCUACAUAACAUAGUCCAUUAAACAUAGCCUACAAAACAUAGCCUAUUAAACAUGGUCUACUAUAUAUAGCCUAUUAAUCA